rfam:Schistosoma mansoni strain Puerto Rico chromosome W, complete genome
GGCUUUCUGAAUUCGUAUAGAGAUUUCAUCAGACAUCAAGCCAUAAGGGUUGAUGAGACUUUCAAGAUAAGUGAAGUG